GUGGCAAACCUGGUCUGGGCGCCACAUCACGGUUCUGUAAUUCGAUUUCCUCCACUGAAGCCUUCCUCUCUCGUGCUCACUCUCUCUCGUGUUCUUUUGUCCCGUGCUCCUCUCUCUCUCUCUCUGUACUCCUCUCUAUUGCGCUCCUCUCUGUUAUUCUAGGGCAAAGUCUUCCCUUGCAAACUCCAGUCGACGUCGAAGAGAAGACUGUCCCUGCAUCCAGAUCUGCGGCCAUGCCACGGUAAGUUUUUGACCAAAACCUGGUUUUUGGUUCCCCAGUACAGUGACGGGGUAAAUAUCUCGAGAGUGGACACGUUUAUCUUGGAGAGGCUUAAGAAGAAGGGCUACGAGGUGCUGUUUAUGGUUGAUGCAAUUGAUGAGUAUGCCGUUGGGCAGUUGAAGGAAUACGGUGGUAAGAUUUAUGAAAUUCAUCUUGGGAGAACAGGAAUCGAGUUGUCAUUGGAAAUAGGAGGGUAUGGCUAUAGUCACUUGAAUGUUUGUUUUUAUCGGACGGGGAGGGAAAGAUAGGGCCCAAGUUGUUUGACGAAAUGCCUGAAGGGAUUUUCUUAUCAUUGGUUGAUAUCCUUGGAAGUAGUAAGCGGUUUGCUACAUUAUGGGUUUUUCUUAUAGAAAUAAGAGAGUCUCGUUGUCUUGAGAUUAAUCCAAAAAUCUUAUGGGUUGUUUUUAAGGAUUAUAGUAGAGCUAAUCUUCCGAAAGAUGCGAUGCGAACAAAAACAGUUACUAUUGACCGGCCAAACCUCAUCUACAUUUACUUAUGUAGUUAAAGAAAUAGCAUUGAAGCUUGAUACAAGAGGUCUCGAAUCAUCUUCUACAUUUUUCAACGCUGGGAACGAGCUUUCCACAUCCCUAUUGUAUAAGCUCCUAGGCAUGGUCAACUUCGAUGGAUUCCAAAAGAAGGCUACGCUUGCUUUUAAUUUUAAAGAAAUGAUUAUGGUAGUUGCAGCUUCUCGAGCCAGCAUGGGUGGAUACAUUUCAUCUCAAUCUAUAAAGAAAAUCAACAAAUGGGCUUCCCAUGAGAUCUGUAAGGUGCCUGCAACUAUAGCAUAUGUCUUCUGUGCAUUUUUUGGCUUUCAAGUUCUAUUUGGCAUUAUAAAGGUUAAAAAACUUGAUGAACGGGAGAGGUUGGUAACAAGAACUACUUAAGCCACCGUACCGGUCUUGAGUGCAGACGCUGCUCAUAUGAAGUUUUAUGAUCACCCAAGUCAGCUAUCCAAUCAUCAGAAAAAUGCAAGAGCUUGAAGGAGGAUGUCAAGAGGGGUUCUUUACUCCCCCUUUUUCUGAGAAAAUGAGGGUGGGUCCCUUUACCCUCAGUAUAAGCAAGAGCGUAUGGGGAGAUUCGAACUUGUAUUUAUGUUAGCUAAACUGUUCCAUUUUUAUUUUGAGGUUUUACAAGAAUGAUCCCAAAAGGACUCUUAAGUCUAUCGCAAGUUGAUGCCUUUAAUCGCAAGUUGGUAGCCCAUAAAGGAUAUCUUUCAGCCCCUAUUGUAAUUUGUAACAAUUCUUCUUAUAUAACCAUCUGUCUUCUUCCUCACUAUCUUAAUUUGUAAUUUGUAACAAUUCUUCUUAAUUUUCUGUGCAUAACACGGGAAUGGGACAAGUGCUUGUAUUGUAAUAACCAAGGGAUUGAAGAACGUACAAACAUUUCUGCUUGUAUUGUAAUAAUAAGGGACUUGCUUACGAUGAUCAAA